UCGACGGAAGGCCCUGCUUUUGUGGGGUGCUCGAGUGGCGAACGGGUGAGUAACACGUGAGUAACCUGCCCUUGACUUUGGGAUAACUUCAGGAAACUGGGGCUAAUACCGGAUAGGAGCUCCUGCUGCAUGGUGGGGGUUGGAAAGUUUCGGCGGUUGGGGAUGGACUCGCGGCUUAUCAGCUUGUUGGUGGGGUAGUGGCUUACCAAGGCUUUGACGGGUAGCCGGCCUGAGAGGGUGACCGGCCACAUUGGGACUGAGAUACGGCCCAGACUCCUACGGGAGGCAGCAGUGGGGAAUAUUGCACAAUGGGCGGAAGCCUGAUGCAGCAACGCCGCGUGCGGGAUGACGGCCUUCGGGUUGUAAACCGCUUUCGCCUGUGACGAAGCGUGAGUGACGGUAAUGGGUAAAGAAGCACCGGCUAACUACGUGCCAGCAGCCGCGGUGAUACGUAGGGUGCGAGCGUUGUCCGGAUUUAUUGGGCGUAAAGGGCUCGUAGGUGGUUGAUCGCGUCGGAAGUGUAAUCUUGGGGCUUAACCCUGAGCGUGCUUUCGAUACGGGUUGACUUGAGGAAGGUAGGGGAGAAUGGAAUUCCUGGUGGAGCGGUGGAAUGCGCAGAUAUCAGGAGGAACACCAGUGGCGAANGCGGUUCUCUGGGCCUUUCCUGACGCUGANGAGCGAAAGCGUGGGGGAGCGAACAGGA
rnacentral:rRNA from 1 species